rnacentral:rRNA from 1 species
AUUGAACGCUGGCGGCAGGCCUAACACAUGCAAGUCGAGCGGAGCGGCGGACGGGCGAGUAAUGCCUAGGAAUCUGCCUGGUAGUGGGGGAUAACGUCCGGAAACGGGACCUAAUACCGCAUACUAUCAGAUUAGCUUAGGUCGGAUUAGGUGGUUGGUGGGGUAAAGGCCUACCAAGGCGACGAUCCGUAACUGGUCUGAGAGGAUGAUUAGUCACCCUGGAACUGGGAAACGGUCCGGACUCCUACGGAGGGCAGCAGAGGGGAAUCUUGGCCAAUGGGCGAAAGCCUAAUCCGGCCAUGCCGCGUGUGUGAAGAGGGUCUUCGGAUUGUAAAGCACUUUAAGUUGGGAGGCGUUACCAACAGAAUAAGCACCGGCUAACUUCGUGCCAGCAGCCGCGGUAAUAC